GACGAACGCUGGCGGUGCGCCUUAUGCAUGCAAGUCGAGCGAAGCUUUUCAGUAGUUUACUACAGAAAAUGACUGAGCGGCGAACGGGUGAGUAACGCGUGAGCAACCUACCUUAGUUACUGGGAUAGCCCGAGGAAACUCGGAUUAAUACCGGAUAUUCUUAUUUAAUCACAUGAUUUUUUAAGGAAAGGUCAGCCGAACUAAGAUGGGCUCGCGUUCUAUCAGCUAGUUGGUAGGGUAAUGGCCUACCAAGGCUACGACGGAUAGCUGGUCUGAGAGGACGAUCAGCCACACUGGGACUGAGACACGGCCCAGACUCCUACGGGAGGCUGCAGCAGGGAAUAUUGCGCAAUGAGCGAAAGCUUGACGCAGCGACACCGCGUGUGGGAUGACGGAUCUAGGUUUGUAAACCACUUUCAGGAGGGAAGAAAAUGACGGUACCUCCACAAGAAGCCCCGGCCAACUACGUGCCAGCCGCCGCCGUAACAC
rnacentral:rRNA from 1 species